ACGGGAGGCAGCAGUGAGGAAUAUUGGUCAAUGGGCGAGAGCCUGAACCAGCCAAGUAGCGUGAAGGAUGACGGCCCUACGGGUUGUAAACUUCUUUUGCCGGGGGAUAAAAAACGGGACGUGUCCCGUCUUGCAGGUACCCGUGCGAAUAAGGACCGACUAACUCCGUGCCAGCAGCCGCGGUAAUACGGAGGAUCCGAGCGUUAUCCGGAUUUAUUGGGUUUAAAGGGUGCGCAGGCGGCCUGCUAAGUCUCCGGUGAAAUGUCAGGGCUCAACCUUGGCACUGCCGGAGAUACUGGCGGGCUUGAGAGUGGCGGACGUCGCCGGAAUGUGUGGUGUAGCGGUGAAAUGCUUAGAUAUCACACAGAACACCGAUUGCGAAGGCAGGCGACGAUACCAUUUCUGACGCUCAGGCACGAAAGCGUGGGGAUCGAACAGGAUUAGAUACCCUGGUA
rnacentral:rRNA from 1 species